CCCAGAGCCCUUCUCUCGGCUCUCGCCUUCCGGCCUCCAUCCUCCAGAGACCGCGGCCGCCGCCGCCGCUCGCCCACCGCUGCACCGCCGCUUCCCUCCAAGAGUCCAAGGCUUCGGCCACCGCCGAAUUGAACCACCGCCACCCAGAUCCACCGCCCUCCGGUCCUGCACAGCCGCCCGCGACGAGACGAGCCACCGGCGCCAUCUUCUCUGUAUGUAGCUUUCUGCACCAAAGGAAGCAGCAGUUAAGUUUCAUGGAUCCUGUAAAAGCGUCACCAGUCACAAGGAUACAAUUUUCUGUUGGGUUGUUUUGGGGGCCAGUCUGAUUGUAGUGCAGUUGUGUAAUGGAAAUAAUUUUUUUUCACGAUAUACCACUUUGCAGAUUGAAGAGUUGUAGUUCUAAGAAUUCUUGUAUUUUCAUAAGAAGCAUUGUCAUUUGAAUUAUCUAUGUGGAUUGUAUUGGUUGAGAUAAA